rnacentral:lncRNA from 1 species
CGCGUGGGCGUCGGCAGCGGCACAAAAGCCAUGCGCCCCAUGGCCUGCGUGAGUGCGUCGACGCCCGUGGUCGGGCCGCCGAACCUCGCUGUUGUACCGAGGGCGGGCGGUACCCGCCACCGCGGUACGCGCCGUUGCGUUGGCAGCGCCGGUUGCUGUUGCAUCGUUGGGGCGGGCUCGAUUUGAUCGUACGCCUUUUUCUCGCUCUCUGUCUUCCCGUGUGUCUUUUUUUUCCUUCUUUUCCUUCUUCUUCUUCUUCUUCUUCUUUGGGCGAGGCGAGACGCUGCCCACGACGGGUACCCUGUUGUAAAGAAUUACAGAGACAAGGGCGCCUUGUCCGUGGGGCGACACAAGGUCGCCGUCUCGCGGCGCAGCGCACACGACCGCUCGGCAAGCAAAAGGGGGUCUUUGCUCCCUUGCGUCCUCCCCCUUCCCCCUCCCCUUGCGUGCGUGCGCGCGCGCCGGGGACAACGGGGGCCGGUGGACACAAUUACGCAAAAAAAACAACAAAAAAGAAAAUGGCAUAAAAAAAGAGGGAAAGGAAAGAAAUCGUAAAGAGCCGUGCAUCUGCUGAAAAAAAGGGCGUAUGAUUUUCCCCUCGCGCAGAGCCUUUUCUUUCUUUAUUUUUUUCCCUGCCGUUCUUGCCGUUGUUGGUCGGGA